AUAUUGGGCAAUGGAGGCAACUCUGACCCAGCCAUGCCGCGUGAGUGAAGAAGGUUUUCGGAUUGUAAAGCUCUUUCGGAUGUGACGAUGAUGACGGUAGCAUCUAAAGAAGCCCCGGCUAACUUCGUGCCAGCAGCCGCGGUAAUACGAAGGGGGCGAGCGUUGUUCGGAAUUACUGGGCGUAAAGGGUGUGUAGGCGGUUAUGUAAGAUAGCGGUGAAAUCCCGGGGCUUAACCUCGGAAUAGCCGUUAUAACUAUGUAGCUAGAGUUAUGGAGAGGAUAGCGGAAUACCCAGUGUAGAGGUGAAAUUCGUAGAUAUUGGGUAGAACACCGGUGGCGAAGGCGGCUAUCUGGCCAUAUACUGACGCUGAGGCACGAAAGCAUGGGGAUCAAACAGGAUUAGAUACCCUGGUAGUCCAUGCUGUAAACGAUGAAUGCUGGUUGUCGGCUUUAGGGUCGGUGACGAAGUUAACGCGAUAAGCAUUCCGCCUGGGGAGUACGGUCGCAAGAUUAAAACUCAAAGGAAUUGACGGGGACCCGCACAAGCGGUGGAGCAUGUGGUUUAAUUCGAUGCAACGCGAAGAACCUUACCAACUCUUGACAUCCUUAUCGGGGGGCGCAGAGAUGAGCCCUUUCAGUUAGGCUGGAUAAGUGACAGAUGCUGCAUGGCUGUCGUCAGCUCGUGUCGUGAGAUGUUGGGUUAAGUCCCGCAACGAGCGCAACCCCUGCUAUCAGUUGCCAGCGAGUAAAGUUGGGCACUCUGAUAGGACUGCCGGUGACAAGCCGGAGGAAGGUGGGGAUGACGUCAAGUCAUCAUGGCUCUUACGAGUUGGGCUACACACGUGCUACAAUGGUAACUACAGAGGGGAGCGAGGCCGCGAGGUUGAGCCAAUCUUAAAAAGUUAUCUCAGUUCGGAUUGUUCUCUGCAACUCGAGAACAUGAAGUUGGAAUCGCUAGUAAUCGCGGAUCAGCAUGCCGCGGUGAAUACGUUCCCGGGUCUUGUACACACCGCCCGUCACGCCAUGGGAGUUGGUUCUGCCUGACGGCGUUGAGGUAACCCGCAAGGGAGCCUGGCGACCACGGUAGGGUCAGCGACUGGGGCGAAGUCGUAACAAGGUAGCCGUAGGGGAACCUGCGGCUG
rnacentral:rRNA from 1 species